ACGUUAGAACUAUGUCCCGUUAAAACCGGUAAACGUGCGCCAUUUCUUCUUCCUUCGUUCUCGCUGUGAACAGAGUCUGAACUGCAGACCUGGGACUUCCGUUUUCUGUAAUCUGAAAGAUAUGGAUAGAUACGUCGGAAUUCUCUUUUUCCAUUUUCAUUUAGUAUUCUUAAGCUUCGAGGGCUUUUCCUUUUCCGAGAGAGUGGGAGGGAGAAAGACCCAGAGAGACGACUGAGAGAUUGGGAUAAAAAAUUUGAGACAGAGAAAGGAGCCCAGAGUUGCCGUCAGUGCUGAGACACCUUAGAACGGCCGGUAUUUGAAGGUGAGAUAACGAAGACUGAGAAAUGAAGACCCUCUUCCUUGUUGCCUACGCUAGUGAGAGAAACUCUUGGAAUUUUAGGAUUUUCGAUCAGAAAGAGAGAGAGAGAGAGAGAGAGAGAGAGAGAGAGAGAGAGAGAGAGAGAGAGAGAGAGAGAGAGAGAGAGAGAGAAUUGGGUUUUUCAAUGGACACUGGGACUCCUGCUUUGGCGGUCUUGCCACAGAGGCAGCGCUCUCUUCUUAUAUCUUCUUUCUUCGCUGGUACUUAAUCUCCUCCAUAUCCUUUCUUUUUAAUUUAUGUGGUGAAAGAUAAGAACCCUAAAGCAAUAUUGUGGUUUCUAUCCAUUUCUUCUCUACUACUCACUCCGAUUCUAAUCUUCUGAGUGACUUUGUGAAACAGUUGCAGAGGAGCAGCUAAGGGGUUUCACGUAUGAGAGAUUUCAUGGAUGGAUCGGAUGAUAUCUGGAUAUUUGAUAAACUAAUCGAAUUCGAAAUCGUAAGUGCUUUUAGAUUUCCAGCUGAUGUUCGAAUUGAAUUAUCGAAUUUUUGAACUUUCAGAUUCAGACCCAACUCAAUUCCAUCCCCCUUUAUUUACUGUAAAUUUCUUCAAUAGCACAACUAUCCUUCAUCCCUACUAAAUCACAGCCCGAGAAAAUGAAAAUUUCCUCUUACUAAUCUACUAUUCCUUGGUCCACGAUCAACCCAAUUAAAUAAAUGAUUAGAUACUGUCCACUUUCUGAGAUUUUCUCAUCAGUGUUAUUCCUGCCUUUUGCUUGUCUAGAACGUAUUUAGACCCCAGUUGACUUGGUAAAACCAAGGACCGUACAAGUUUAAAACACCAAUAGUCAAAAUUUUUGUCUGCAAUGACUGAUUCUUAAUCUGAAAGUUUAAUUUCAAAGGGCAGCUCUAUUUUCCCAACUAACCCACCAAAGGAAGUACAAUUAAAGAAGUCUCUGACAUUUUCAAUUCCUGAAACACAUAUAUCCAGCUAUCUCUUUAACAAACUAACCCACAAAAGGAAGAAAAACAAGAAGCAAGAAGCAAGAAUGCCUUACACCGGAGGACUGCUAUUCCUUCUUUCUUCCCUGCUUCUGUUGAGACACUGCUCUGCACAAUCUGUCUAUGCUUAUCACUUCUGUAUAUCAGGAAAUUACACUGCCAAUAGUACAUAUCAAACCAACCUCAAUCUCCUCCUCUCUUCUCUAUCCUCUAAUGCCACAAUCGUUUCUGGAUUCUAUAACACCACCAUCGGCCAGAAUUCUGAUAAAGUUUACGGUCUUCUCCUAUGUAGAGGUGAUGUUACUCCAGAAACCUGUAGUUCCUGCAUUCAGUUGGCCAAGGAUGAUGUUACACAACGUUGUCCCACUGAGAAAGAGGCCAUAAUAUGGUAUGAUUUGUGUAUGUUACGGUACUCAAAUAGGUCUAUAUUCUCAGUUAUGGAGGCUACUCCAUCUGUUUCUUUGUUGAAUCCCAACAAUGUAUCCAACUCGGGUCAGUUUGAUCAGACAUUGGCGGGUUUGAUGAAUGGCCUUAUAACUCAGGCUGCGUCAGGAUCAUCUACCCACAAGUAUGCAGCCAAUGAGACAUAUUUUACAAGCCUAGAGAAUUUAUACGGGCUUGUGCAGUGCACUCCUGACUUAUCUCAGGAUGAUUGCAACAAAUGUCUAGUUGGGGCUGUGGAUACUAUUGCAAAUUGUUGCGAUGGGAGCAGGAGAAAAGGUAUGAGAGUUCUUAGACCGAGUUGUUCUGUAAGGUAUGAGAUCAACGACCCUUUCUAUCAAACAUCAACGAGCCCAACUAUCACAAAAGGUAAAGGGAGUAAUUCAUCUAUUAUUAUCAUUAUUGUUGUUGUUUCUGUUGUUGGAAUUUUUACUGCAAUCAUACUUGUAUCCAUCCUCUAUCUACGUUCUCGAAGGAGGAAGCUGAAGCACAUAGUUGAUGAAGAAGAUGAUCAUGAUGAGAUUAUAAGUGCCGAAUCCUUACAAUUCAACUUUGAGACAAUAAGAACUGCUACAGACAACUUCUCUGAUGCAAAUAAGCUUGGACAAGGAGGAUUUGGAGCUGUUUACAAGGGUAAUCUUUUGGAUGGACAAAUAGUGGCUGUGAAGAGGCUCGCAAGAAAUUCUGGACAAGGGGACAUAGAAUUUAAGAAUGAGGUUGUAUUAGUGGCCAAGUUACAGCACAGGAAUCUUGUUAGACUCCUUGGCUUCUGCUUAAAAGGAGAGGAAAAGCUGCUCAUCUAUGAAUUCGUUCCAAAUACAAGUCUAGAUCACUUUAUUUUUGAUCCAAUCAGACGCUUACAAUUGGACUGGGAGAAGCGUUACAAAAUUAUUGGAGGGAUUGCUCGAGGGCUUCUUUAUCUUCAUGAGGAUUCUCGACUUAGGAUUAUUCAUAGAGAUCUAAAAGCCAGCAAUAUUUUGUUAGACGAGGAGAUGAAUCCAAAAAUUGCAGAUUUUGGCUUGGCAAGGCUCUUUGUAGUGGACCAAACUCAAGCCAAUACUAGCAGGAUUGUUGGAACAUAUGGAUAUAUGGCGCCAGAGUACAUGAUGCAAGGGCUAUUCUCAGUUAAGACAGAUGUGUUUAGUUUUGGAGUCUUACUUCUAGAGAUCGUGAGUGGUCAGAAGAACAAUAAUUUCAAUCAAUCGUCGGAGCGCACCGAGGACCUUCUUAGCUAUGCAUGGAGAAAAUGGAAUGAUGGUACUGCUUUGGCAUUGAUGGAUCCAACUUUGGGAGAAAAUUGUCCUAAUUCGGAAGUGAUUAGAUGCAUUCACAUUGGACUAUUAUGUGUUGCAGAAAAUGUAUCUGACAGACCCACCAUGGCCUCUGUUGUUCUCAUGCUCAAUAGCUACUCUACUACUCUCCCGUUGCCCUCAUCACCAGCCUUUUUAAUGCAUAGCGGAAUCGAGUUACGUGAAUUUUCCACAGACUAUGGUUCACUAAAAAAAUCAGGUCAUUCCAGGAGUAGUUCAGCAACAAAAUUGGUAAAUGAUAUGUCUAUUACCGAGUUGUCUGCUCGAUAGUGUUGAUGAUGACAAACAUUAACACAAGGUACCUGCAAUAGCUUGGAUGUUUUGAUUUACAGGACUUCUGAGGAUGAAGAGCAUCAUUAAUUUCAAGGUUUCUGGCAUAGAUUGGAUGUCUUGAUUUUCAAGACUAAGAUUUACUUCUCUGCGAAGACCCAGGGUUCGAAGACGAUGACGACGGAUAAUAAGAAAUUAAGGGGACUGGAUAAACCAAGUCUAUGUAUGAAAGUCUGACUCCUCCAAGAAUAGUUAGCUACCAAAGUUCAGAAAUUGAAAGACAGUGAAGGUGCCUUCCUUUCUUUCUUCUUUGGAAUUUAUAUAAGGAUUUUGUUUUGUUGUCUGAUGGAACCUCUUUUCCAUCAAUACAUCGAUUUCUUGGCAGUGUUUUGAUACCAAGAAAAGAAAAGAAAAAUGAAAUCAAAUGAGCCGAAGAUGGAAAAUGGAUGAACAGAGAUUCCUUCCACCCACUACUUGGGUUGAUUUGGCCAUAAGAGUAAACCACUAACAACAUACUAGUACCAUCAAGUUUCUAAGGGCUUUAAGUAAACUUGUCAAUAGUUUGGGGUGUCAAGCAAUUUGGCCUUGCGUCCAAGCAAUUCUGGAAAGAAAGUAAUGCUCAUCGUUAUGAAGAUAAGAAGCCAACUAGUAUUCUCAUCUUUGAGAAGAUCAGGCAUGGUUUUUAUGAUGCCAAUAUCAACUUGCAAGGUGUAGUAAAGUAGCCAAUCGAUCUCCUUUGUUGUUGGCAUCUUGGUCUGCAUGCUACUCCCAGUCGACCUUCAAAGAUCUUGGAAAUUUUUUGGUGCAAGCCAAUGACAUGGUGGGCAAAACUCAAUGUGGAUGGUAGCUCUAUUGGUAAUCCCGGAAGGGCAGGGGCAAGCGGUUUUAUACGAUACAAUAAUGGAGCUGUGAUGGUAUUAUUCAAAGUAUUGGAAUUCAGACAAAUUAUGUUGCAGAAUUUUGAACUUUAUUGAAGGUAUUCAAAAGGCAAAAGAAUUGGAAGUGGUUUCCCUAUGGAUCGAAUAUGAUUCUACAGCCGUGGUGACUGCUAUCCAUGCUAGAUAUACCCACAGGUAUGCUGAUCAGGAAUGAACCUCUCUGCAAACAUUUAUGAACUCUUAUAUGUUGGAAAGUCACGCAUUGCUUUCAUGAGGCAAAUUGUAUGGUUGAUUACUUAGCUAUGGAUGCUUCUAAGAUAGGAAUUUCGGAAUAUAUAUAUAUAUAUAUAUAUAUAAUUUUUCCGAAUCAUAGAGGAAGAGAUUAUUCAUGAUGCUUGCCUAGGUACCAAUUCUGUUAAUGCUGAUUUUAUUUCCCCUGCUAAUGGCAUUGCCAAAAGUG